CACACGGUCUGCGUGUGGGCGUGUGGUGAGCGCGGUUCGGUUGGUAGGUUGGCAGGCGAGCUGGCUGGUCGUUGUCGCCGCAACUGCUGGCUGGCUGGCUGGCUGGCUGGCUGACUGGCUAGGCGGUGGGUUGGCGGGACGGCUGGGUGGUUUGCUUGCUGGCUGGGCUGGCUGGUGCGAUGCUGCACUACUACUGCUUGCGUGCAGUGAGCGUGUGUUGGCAGGGAUUGUGUUGCCGUGGCCAUGAAGAAGCACUGUCGUGUCAAGCUGGCAAGGCGAUGGUGUCACCUUUGAGCCAUGUCUGUGGUGUAACAGCUACAGGUGUGGACGGGUGUUGGGCAGCGCUCUGCACACGUUGUGGAGUCUGUCGGCUCGUCUGCAUGCCUUUGGAUGCCCUUAAAAAGGUGUCUGCGGGCGGAUGGCACGUUUACUUUGAACAAAUUUGAGUGCUCAAAUCAGGCCGAUGUUGCCUGAAAAGUUUUGCAUGGAAUAAUGGAAUAGGACUUCGGUUCUAUUUCGUUGGUUUUCGGAUCCGAAGUAAUGAUCAAAAGAGACAGGCGGGGACGUUUGUAUGGCUGCGCUAGAGGUGAAAUUCAUGGACCGUAGCCAGACAGACUAAAGCGAAAGCAUUCGUCAAGCAUGUUUUCAUUGGCCAUGAGCGAAAGUCAGAGGCUCGAAGACGAUCAGAUACCGUCCUAGUUCUGACCAUAAACGAUGCCAACUGACGAUCCGUGGUGGUAGUAGUGUUACCUUCCCCACGGGCAGUCCCCGGGAAACCUUUAAGUGUUUGGGUUCCGGGGGAAGUAUGGUUGCAAAGCUGAAACUUAAAGGAAUUGACGGAAGGGCACCACCAGGAGUGGAGCCUGCGGCUUAAUUUGACUCAACACGGGAAAACUCACCCGGGCCGGACACUGUGAGGAUUGACAGAUUGAGAGCUCUUUCUUGAUUUGGUGGUUGGUGGUGCAUGGCCGUUCUUAGUUGGUGGAGCGAUUUGUCUGGUUAAUUCCGAUAACGAACGAGACUCCAACCUGCUAAUUAGUGCGUUUGUCCACUGCGCCUGCGUAGGUGACGCUGGAUGACACCACCUGUCACGAGGACGUGGCAGCGGCUCUUCUCUCCCCUUCUCCGCUCGAAUGCCCUCCAGCGCCUCCUCCUCCUCCUCCUCCUCUCCUCCCCCUUCUUCAGCGCCUCAUCUGGCCGGCUGGCUGGCUGGCCGGGUGAGGCGGUGGUGGCGGUGGCGGUGGUGAGGGCGAUGGGGUGGGGAUGGUGCGGGUGGGCGAGUGGAUUGUGGUGGAGGCGUGGGGUUGGGUGCGGCGCUCGUGGCCGGUUAGUCUGGCGUUGGCCUCCGGGUGUGGCGCGAAUGCCUACUUCUUAGAGGGACAAGCGGGAGAAGCCGCACGAAAUAGAGCAAUAACAGGUCUGUGAUGCCCUUAGAUGUCCGGGGCCGCACGCGCGCUACAAUGACGGUGUCAGCGAGUCAGGCCUUCUGGCCCGAAAGGGUUGGGCAAACUGGUCAAUCACCGUCGUGACAGGGAUCGGGGCUUGGAAUUGUUCCCCGUGAACGAGGAAUUCCUAGUAAGUGCAAGUCAUAAGCUUGCGCUGAUUACGUCCCUGCCCUUUGUACACACCGCCCGUCGCUACUACCGAUUGAAUGGUUUAGUAAGGUCCUCGGAUUGGCGUCAUUGCGACGGUGGCCGAGAGGUCACAGCCCGAGGGGCGCUGAGAAGACGACCGAACUUGAUCAUUUAGAGGAAGUAAAAGUCGUAACAAGGUUUCCGUAGGUGAACCUGCGGAAG
rnacentral:rRNA from 1 species